UCCAGGAGUCUCCUCUUUCCCAAGAAAAGAGUGCAGAAGAAGGUGAAGUGGCAGCUCUGCACCUCACAGCCAGAUCCCAGACAACAGUGACAUUCAAGGAUGUGGCCAUGGACUUCACACUGGAAGAGUGGGAGAAGCUGGGCCCUACACAAAGGGCAGUGCUGCUGGAGAACUACAGGAACCUGGUCUCACUGUGGCUUCCCAUUUCCAAACCUGAGAGCUACGAUUUGGAGAAUGGAAAAGAGCCAUUGAUGCUUGAGAGAAAAGUGCCCAGUAGCAGCUAUCUAG